rnacentral:lncRNA from 1 species
CCCAAAAUUUCUCAAGAACUCUCCUUAGGGUUUCAAAAUAAAAACCCAAAUAGUUCAAGAUUCUACCGUAGGUUUUCGAAGAUAAUUACAUAUUUGGAAUUACCAAUCCGCAAGCUUCAAGAAACAUCUAGUAUCUUCGGAAAUAGAGGUACGUGGGGUUAUACAAAAAUCUCAUGAGUGUAGUUUUUAUGAACAUGCAUGCUUUUAAAUGGGGGUUUUCAAUCAAAUGCUAAUAUCUUGCUUUCAAUACGAUUUCUAAGUCGUUUUCUUUAUGUCAUGGGAAUUGUUUGCCUAUAUACUUCAUUGGUUGAAAAUAUGCAUAAGUGAUUUGAGAUUUUCC